UACGUAGGGGGCAAGCGUUGUCCGGAAUCACUGGGCGUAAAGCGCGUGUAGGCGGCCAGGUAAGUCCGUUCUGAAAGCCCGGGGCUCAACCCCGGGAGGCGGAUGGAUACUGCUUGGCUCGAGUCCGGAAGAGGCGAGUGGAAUUCCUGGUGUAGCGGUGAAAUGCGCAGAUAUCAGGAGGAACACCGAUGGCGAAGGCAGGUCUCUGGGCAUUAACUGACGCUGAGGAACGAAAACCAGGAGAGCAAACGGG
rnacentral:rRNA from 1 species